rnacentral:rRNA from 1 species
GGAAUAUUGGGCAAUGGAGGGAACUCUGACCCAGCGACGCCGCGUGCGGGAUGAAGGCCUUCGGGUUGUAAACCGCUUUCAGCAAGGAAGAAGCGAAAGUGACGGUACUUGCAGAAGAAGCACCGGCUAACUAUGUGCCAGCAGCCGCGGUAAUACAUAGGGUGCAAGCGUUGUCCGGAAUUAUUGGGCGUAAAGAGCUCGUAGGUGGUUCGUCACGUCGGAUGUGAAAAUCUGGGGCUUAACCCCAGACCUGCAUUCGAUACGGGCGAGCUAGAGUGUGGUAGGGGAGACUGGAAUUCCUGGUGUAGCGGUGGAAUGCGCAGAUAUCAGGAGGAACACCAAUGGCGAAGGCAGGUCUCUGGGCCAUUACUGACACUGAGGAGCGAAAGCGUGGGGAGCGAACAGGAUUAGAUACCCUGGUAGUCCACGCCGUAAACGGUGGGCACUAGUUGUGGGAACCUUCCACGGUUUCUGCGACGCAGCUAACGCAUUAAGUGCCCCGCCUGGGGAGUACGAUCGCAAGAUUAAAACUCAAAUGAAUUGACGG